rnacentral:rRNA from 1 species
GGAUUAGAUACCCUGGUAGUCCACGCAGUAAACGAUGUGUGCUAGUUGUCAGAUCCAUAGAUCUGGUGACGGAGCGAAAGUAUUAAGCACACCGCCUGGGGAGUACGGCCGCAAGGUUAAAACUCAAAGGAAUUGACGGGGACCCGCACAAGCGGUGGAGCAUGUUCUUUAAUUCGAAGCAACGCGAAGAACCUUACCUACACUUAACUAUCCUCUUGGGACUUACAGAGAUGUUUGUCUUCGGUUCGGCCGGGGAGUGAAUAGGUGCUGCAUGGCUGUCGUCAGCUCGUGCCG